rnacentral:rRNA from 1 species
AUUGAACGCUGGCGGCAGGCCUAACACAUGCAAGUCGGACGGUAGCACAGAGGAGCUUGCUCCUUGGGUGACGAGUGGCGGACGGGUGAGUAAUGUCUGGGGAUCUGCCCGAUAGAGGGGGAUAACCACUGGAAACGGUGGCUAAUACCGCAUAACGUCGCAAGACCAAAGAGGGGGACCCUCGGGCCUCUCACUAUCGGAUGAACCCAGAUGGGAUUAGCUAGUCGGCGGGGUAAUGGCCCACCUAGGCGACGAUCCCUAGCUGGUCUGAGAGGAUGACCAGCCACACUGGAACUGAGACACGGUCCAGACUCCUACGGGAGGCAGCAGUGGGGAAUAUUGCACAAUGGGCGCAAGCCUGAUGCAGCCAUGCCGCGUGUAUGAAGAAGGCCUUCGGGUUGUAAAGUACUUUCAGCGGGGAGGAAGGCGGUGAGGUUAAUAACCUCGCCGAUUGACGUUACCCGCAGAAGAAGCACCGGCUAACUCCGUGCCAGCAGCCGCAGUAA